GACUUAGCGGCGGACGGGUGAGUAACGCGUGGGUAACCUGCCUUACACUGGGGGAUAACAGUUAGAAAUGACUGCUAAUACCGCAUAAGCGCACAGGGCCGCAUGGCCUGGUGUGAAAAACUCCGGUGGUGUAAGAUGGACCCGCGUCUGAUUAGGUAGUUGGUGGGGUAACGGCCCACCAAGCCGACGACCAGUAGCCGACCUGAGAGGGUGACCGGCCACAUUGGGACUGAGACACGGCCCAA
rnacentral:rRNA from 1 species